UCUUCUGGGAUCGGCUCUUGGACAAACUGACAGCUGUAUGUGUCCAUUACACCCUAGAUCUACUGAAGGAACUUUACUUUAGUAGCACAAUGCAAGAGCUGCAUAAAUGUUCAACGAUAGAUUAGUUCCUGGAAUACAGCCACUCUACUUGCAAAGAAACAAUAAUUCAUUGAAACACUGCCCCUCUCUGAUGGAACAUGGAUAGCUUCUUUAUAUUCCUACAGCUGAAAUAUGAUCAAGAAAACCAGACAGCUGCAAGCUACUGAACAGAAAAAAGAUGCUGUUCAUGUAUCGAGUCAUGGCUUUAAAACAUAGACUACAAUUUCUGGAGAAAAUUGUAAUAGAUAAAAUAUGGGGUGUGCUACCUUAGCAUUUGGUCAGCCUCUCUACAAAAGAGUAUCAAGAGGACCAAGGGACAAAGAGCAUCAAGCUGAAACUCUACAUCAAAGGACAACCUACAUAUAAGGAAGGCUUUGCUCUAGUUCUGGGUACACUGCUUCAUCAUUUGGAUAUUUGAGAACUUUGCAAAUACUUGCCCGGGACUUCAGCACUUGUGGAAUCAGUGGCACACCCCAGUGCAAACAAGAAGAACAUUGUCAGGAGCAGGCCAAAUGCACUACAGAAGUUCAGCAAGGAUCGACAGCUGAAGCUCUUUACAGCACCUGCCUUUCCGGGAUUGCUGCACGGUGUGCAGAAUUGAGUUCGAUUCCCAGCUCCCACCCCAGAAGAUUCACAAGUGCCUGUAUCUCCUGCUCCUGGGAAUCUGACAUCAUCCUCUUCUGGCUUCUGAGGGCAUCUGUGUUCAUGUGAUAUAUCCAUACAAAC